UCCAGCCUUAGGGCUUCACUUUCUUCCUUCUUUCUUUUCUCUCCCAACGUUGUUUCCUCUUCUUUUUCUUCAUUUUCAUGCUUUCCCUACUGCUGCCGGUUCAUCUCUACGUGUGCCGCGUUUCUCCCUUGAUUUUCUUUAGUUGAUUUCAAUGUAGAUGAUGAAGAGGCUGAGCCUGAGGAGGCAGCUCUACCGGAGUAGUUUGGAGUCUGUACCUGUAAUUGUUGGAAAUUAUUUUCAGCUUUCAUAUUAUGUAUUUUGGUUUAUGACUUGUUACUUUAAUUUGUAAUAUUUUUUGUAUGCUUAUGUUUAAACUAGUUUGUAUUUAAACAAUUAUAGUACUUAGUUGACUGACCUUAAUUUAUUAUGUUGCGUUUUGGUUGUA